AUCCGCAGUCCACAAUGGGCCUGC
rnacentral:snRNA from 1 species